UACGAAGGGGGCUAGCGUUGUUCGGAAUUACUGGGCGUAAAGCGCGUGUUGGCUGCUUGGACAGUCGGAUGUGAAAGCCCUGGGCUCAACCUAGGAAGUGCAUUCGAAACUUCUGAGCUGGAGUGCUGGAGAGGAAGGCGGAAUUCUCGGUGUAGAGGUGAAAUUCGUAGAUAUCGAGAGGAACACCGGUGGCGAAGGCGGCCUUCUGGACAGUAACUGACGCUGAGACGCGAAAGCGUGGGGAGCAAACAGG
rnacentral:rRNA from 1 species